rnacentral:rRNA from 1 species
GAUGAACGCUGGCGGCGUGCUUAACACAUGCAAGUCGAACGAAGCAGAUUGAGAUCUUCGGAAGGAUAUCUGACUGAGUGGCGGACGGGUGAGUAACGCGUGGGUAACCUGCCUCAUACAGGGGGAUAACAGUUAGAAAUGACUGCUAAUACCGCAUAAGCGCACAGUACCGCAUGGUACGGUGUGAAAAACUCCGGUGGUAUGAGAUGGACCCGCGUCUGAUUAGCUAGUUGGUGGGUAACGGCCUACCAAGGCGACGAUCAGUAGCCGACCUGAGAGGGUNACCGGGCCACAUUGGGACUGAGACACGGCCCAAACUCCUACGGGAGCAGCAGUGGGGAAUAUUGGUCAAUGGUCGGAAGACUGAACCAGCCAAGUAGCGU